AAGAGUUAAUCUAAACUCCUUAAACCCAUGUGAACUUACCACUUUGUUGCCUCGGCAGCUCUACCGUCCGGUCGUCGCCAGUUCUCUGGCGGGGGCACGCCGUCAGGCGUCUAGCGGGCGGUUCUGCCGGUGGACCAAAACCAAACUCUUGUUUUAUAAUUGUCAUUCUGAAUUUUUUCAACUUAAUAAGUUA
rnacentral:misc_RNA from 1 species